rnacentral:lncRNA from 1 species
AUGGGGGGCUCACACGGGCAAUCUCACGGUCCGAGAUCUCUGGUCUCCUCAAGAAAGAACUCAACACAUAAACUUUCUCGAACUCUUAACGAUCUUCAAAGCUCUUUGAGCUUUUGCCCACUUCCUCCCCCACAAAACAGUGCAACUCCUGACGGACAAUGCCAUUGCCAUGUAUUACAUCAACAAGCAGGGCGGUACCGGCUAGAGAAAGCUGAUGUCUCUCUCGUCGGAGAUCUGGCUGUGGUGCAUAGCCCGAGACAUAUCCCUGACGGCAGUUCACCUUCUGGGCACCCAAAACACUCUAGCGGACUCACUCAGCAGGAUUGCGACCUCUCCCCACGAGUGGCGCCUCGAUCCCGAGAUUCUCCAUCACGUCUUCAACGAAUGGGGGUGGCCAACUCUAGACCUCUUUGCCUCCCCCACCAACACCCAACUUCCCCGCAUCGGGGCAAGACUGCUGCCUCAGGGAUGCUUUUCUCCUGGAUUGGUCCGCCGAACCUGUCUAUCUUUUCCCCCGUUUCCUCAAACCCCAAGGGCACUGGAAAGGUUUCAUCUGACCUCGGCAUCGGCAAUCUUUAUAGCUCCUGCUUGGCCUCUCCAACCGUGGUACCCAACCCUUCUACAGAUGUGCUCAGGAAUCUUUCGCACUCUCCCGUUGGUUUCUCAUCUCCUCACCUUCCAGGGAGGACAGGUUCUCCAUCCGGACAUUCCGUCCCUACAUUUGACGGCGUGGAGGAUUCUUCCCUGAGCUCCUUCCACCCGUACCUCCAGGCGAUCCUCUGGGCGGCUCAUAAACCAGCGACAUCGAGAGCCUACGCCUACAAGAUUGCUAAAUUCCAGGCCUUCCUUCAGCUUUGUAAUAUCGAUUCCUCCUCCAGGUCAGUCCCGUUGGUCUUGGACUUUCUUCUCACCCUUGCAGACCAACAAUUGUCCUUGGCCUCAAUGAAGUCCUACCUGGCUGCCCUUUCCUGGCACUUCCAAUGUCAUGGACAUCCUUCCUUGUUUUCAAGUCACCUUGUAAAGACCUUUCUUCAGGGCUACAAUAACCUCCGUCCUCCGGUGCAUCCUCUGAGCCUCAAGCUCGUCUUGUCUCAACAGACUUCCUCGCCAUUCGAGCCGAUAGUGUCCGCCGAUCUUCACCUUCACCAAUUUAAGGGAGAUGUUGAUAAGCUGGAAUGUGUCCAGAGGAGAGCAACGAAAAUGAUCAAGGGCCUGGAGAACAAGCCCUACGAGGAGUGGCUUAAAGAGCUGGGCAUGUUUAGCCUGCAGAAGAGAAGGCUGAGAGGAGACAUGAUAGCUAUUUAUAAAUAUGUGAGGGGAAGUCAUAGGGAGGAGGGAGCAAGCUGUUUUCUGCUGCCCUGGAAACUAGGAUGCAGAACAAUGGCUUCAAACUACAGGAAAGGAGAUUCCACUUGA